rnacentral:rRNA from 1 species
AGUGAACGCUGGCGGUAGGCCUAACACAUGCAAGUCGAACGGCAGCACAGGAGAGCUUGCUCUCUGGGUGGCGAGUGGCGGACGGGUGAGGAAUGCAUCGGGAUCUACUCUUUCGUGGGGGAUAACGUAGGGAAACUUACGCUAAUACCGCAUACGACCUACGGGUGAAAGCCGGGGACCUUCGGGCCUGGCGCGAAAGAAUGAGCCGAUGCCCGAUUAGCUAGUUGGCGGGGUAAGAGCCCACCAAGGCGACGAUCGGUAGCUGGUCUGAGAGGAUGAUCAGCCACACUGGAACUGAGACACGGUCCAGACUCCUACGGGAGGCAGCAGUGGGGAAUAUUGGACAAUGGGCGCAAGCCUGAUCCAGCCAUACCGCGUGGGUGAAGAAGGCCUUCGGGUUGUAAAGCCCUUUUGUUGGGAAAGAAAAGCAGUCGGUUAAUACCCGAUUGUUUCUGACGGUACCCAAAGAAUAAGCACCGG